UUGGACCUAAUUGUAAAAGUCACAAAAACAUAAAAAUCUCAAAGAAAAGGGCAAGAAUUGAACUCACAUAUGUCAAAUUAUGAAAAACCAGCAGCUUUCAGACCUCCCAUGGCGUUUUUGCUGAAGAAAAAUGAUGAUAUCUCUAGAUUUUUCAAAUUUGUCUUGUUUUAUAUGUUUAAUUUGUAAAAUUUCUCGUUUUGCCCUUGUUUUUC
rnacentral:lncRNA from 1 species